GGGGAUUUAGCUCAGUGGUAGAGUGCUUGCCUAGCAAGCACUAGGCCCUGGGUUCAGUCCCCAGCUCCG
rnacentral:tRNA from 1 species